UACGUAGGGUGCAAGCGUUAAUCGGAAUUACUGGGCGUAAAGCGUGCGCAGGCGGUUUUGUAAGACAGAGGUGAAAUCCCCCGGGCUCAACCUGGGAACUGCCCUUUGUGACUGCAAGGCUUGAGUGCGGCAGAGGGGGAUGGAAUUCCGCGUGUAGCAGUGAAAUGCGUAGAGAUGCGGAGGAAUACCGAUGGCGAAGGCAGCCCCUGGGAUGACACUGACGCUCAUGCACGAAGCGUGGGAGCAACAGG
rnacentral:rRNA from 1 species